GUACCUGAUGAUCAACUUUUUAUCAAUAUACGCUGGAAAUUACCGGCUGAGGUUUUUCUUUGACGAUAUUAAAUGGCUAUGUCUGACU
rnacentral:snoRNA from 1 species